GAUGAACGCUGGCGAGAUGCCUUACACAUGCAAGUCGUACGAGAGUUUUUAACUCAAGUGGCGGACGGGUGAGUAACACGUAAGAAUUUGCCUUUAGGAGGGGGACAACAACUGGAAACGGUUGCUAAUACCCCAUAUGCUUUCGAGUGAAAUGGAUUUUCCGCCUAGAGAGAAGCUUGCGGCUGAUUAGCUUGUUGGUGAGGUAAUGGCUCACCAAGGCGACGAUCAGUAUCUGGUUUGAGAGGACGAUCAGACACACUGGAACUGAGACACGGUCCAGACUCCUACGGGAGGCAGCAGUGGGAAUUUUCCGCAAUGGGCGAAAGCCUGACGGAGCAAUCUCGCGUGAGGGAUGACGGCCUGGGUUGUAACCUCUUUUUCAGGUGGAAUAAUGACGUGUACCUGAAGAUAAGCAAUCGGCUAACUCCGUGCCAGCAGCCGCGGUAAA
rnacentral:rRNA from 1 species